CCUCUGCCCUGAGGGAGGGAGACAGACAAAGAGGAGUGACAGAGGAAAGAAAGAAAUUGUUAUGAGAAAAUAUGAGACAGAUGGGCAAAUCCUUGGCUUAGUUAGCAGAAGAGAAACUUUUUAAUUUGGGCUGUUUUCUCAGUGGUCCAAAGACUCUACCACCUCACUGGAGCUGAAAGACUCAUCUGUUUGUGAAGUCCAGGCUUCCCUGCAGAGUACUUGCCAUAGAGUUAUAUCACCACUCGUUUGGUAUCGUGGUUGUUUGCUUAACAGGGGUCAUGCUAAAAGCUGUGGCAAGUCAAGACAAGAGGAGUUUCACCAGCCAUUUGGAACUGCCUGAAACAUCUGCACCUUUACUCCUGCCCUGCUGGGAACUGCGUCCCUGCCACUAUUGCAUAAGAAGAUGUAAAACUUCCUGCCUUUCCAGAUCAAAGCUUUGAAAGAAAUGCCUGGGUCUCUCUGCAUGGACUUACAGAGAUGGGCUCACAGUCUCUUCAUGCAGCAUAAUGCUUCCUACCCAAACUAACCCUUCUCUGAGACCUGCAAUGCUGACAUCAAUGACUAGAAAUAGUCAUAAUCAGAAGAGUGGGUCCGUGACUCAGAUUUUUUACUCAUUAGUUGAUGAUCUUCUUGCCAACUUUUGGGAACCUUAUGAGCUUUCUCUCUCACUCAUGCAGCCCACUUGGGUAAAAAAAGAAGGCUUUAAUAGGGUGUUUUGCAUUAAAAUGGAGAUAAACAGUAUGUUUGAUGGAAGCAGAACACUGCAGAGUAAGGCAUAUCUUCAACUGAUGUAAAUUUGUCACAUCUCUAUAAAGAUAAUGAAACUAGCACUAAUUUAAAUUAGCUAAGAUAUGUAUGUCAUACAAACUCCUCUACAGAUCUUCAUGGAGCUAAGCAGAGACACUGGUGACAACAUGCAGUCCUGACAGCUUCCAUCCAGCACAUGCUUCGGGUAGGUCAGAAACAUUCUGGAUCGUGCUUCCACUAACGAUCGCUGACAGAUAAAAAUUAGUUGUAAGUAAAAGGCUGAAUUUUGUUAGUUUCUCCUGCUCUGGCUUUUAGUCCUCUUUGACAAAGAUGCUCUACAUUUUGCUUUCUCGUUUAUUCCUGACUGCUUGGAAUUUCUCGCAUGCAAUUAAGACUCAUGUGUUUACUUCCAAUCUGGCUGGGAUCCACUACACCCUCUCUGCCAUUCACCUCUUCCCCAUCUCCUCCUACCUCUUGAUUGUUAGGUGUUGGGGAAGGUUUUUCUUGGCUUUUCUGCCUCUUUUAACACUUAAUCUUCCCGUCUCGGUUAGUUCUUCCACUUAAAUCAACUUUUCCUGUAGGAACACUUGCUAAGGAGGAGUAAGCUCAUAUUUAUAUUAUGGAUAUUUAUACAUGAAUAUAUUUCUAGCUGAUAUCACUCUACCAUUUAAAGUGGCAAAAUAAGUAAUUUAAAUUUCCAGUAAAAGGGUUGAAGCCUGUUGUUUCAUCCUGUAAACACAGGAAGCCAUCAGCCUUCAGGAGCCCAAGAGAAGAGCCUGAAGCACUGUGGAUUCACUGCUUGGGACACAAGCAUUCAAGUCCAGCUUCAAUACCAACUGAAGUGCUAAAAUCCUUUUCCAAAAGUGACAAUAAACAAAGAGAAUUGUGUUUGCCCCUCCUACUUCCCUUCAUUGGAAAGUCCGUACUGGUUUCAUGUGUUGUGCCAUUAGUUUGUGUUUGUGUGAAUGGCACUGUAAACAACAGCCCAACAGCCAGGACAGUGGGAACACCCAGAGCCCUGUGACGAUCAAGCUCUGGGACAGCACAAAGAAGCCAAUGAAAAAUUUAGCAGAAACAAAGCAUUUCUAUUCCAUUCAGAAAAAUUAAUGUUAUCCAUCCCAAACCUAAAUUCCUUUAAGAACUUGUUUUUUAAAAUGAACAUUUUCUGUAGAUUUGUGUGUAAAUACAUGAGAUUUAUGAACUGAUUUUUCUUUCAGAAUUCAGUGUGAAAAGAUUCCUGUAGCUGCAGGUACAUUUUCUGCCUCUGAGUCAGAGUAUCCACUGAGAUGUAAUAUUCGUUUCAUUAGACUCAUCAGCGAUAAUUCUGUUCAGCUCCAUUAAAUGAAAACAGUAAAUUAACAUGUGCACUAGUUCUCCCUCACUAACUAAUUGAUAUAUGAUGAAAGUUCCCAUGUUACCAGCUGCUACAUCUUCAAGGACAGUAACUAGAAAUAGUGGGUUAAGGGUUUUUUAAAAUGCAUACUUUCAUUAGUGGUGGUAGCCAGUAUAUGCUAUUUAAGAAAGAAAAGCAAAAAACCACCACAAUUGGUACAGCACAAUGACAAAAUCCUGCCUAUCUUUCUACCCUGGGAGUUUGAGCAGCUAUUGUUCAUAUGCAGGAAUAGUCUUUGAAUAUGUAUUUCAGCAGCAUUAUGUACUUUAGCAUAAGGAUUGUUGUUCUGAAGUCUGCCCUCAUAGUCAGAUUUUUCAGUGGACUUUUAACUUUUGUUUGUGUGCUUGCAUCUAAUUGAAGAAGCGCUUGCAAGGCUGUCUUUGCUGAUUGCUAGGCAGAAAAGAUCUGAAUUACUAUUUGUUUUCCAGGAAGUUAGAGCAAGAUUCUCAUCUGAUGUUAACUGGUUUCUCUCUUUAAAACUGAGUGGAAGUGUGCUGAUUUGCAUCAAAGGGUGGAAAGAAAUUAGUAGAGAAAGCACUGAAGGACAUUUCUGUCCAUGACAAACAUGCCUAAGUGGUCUAGAAGCCCAGGAGGCUUCAACAGCCUGCAGCCAAGCACCUGUUUCAAAAGGCAACUUUGAAUGACCAGUAAGGGGAAUAAAUGAAAAAUUAUAUGCUUCAUCAUCCAUGGCUUGUGGGUGGCUUCAAUCUUCCUGAAAAACCAGGUACUGAAUUCUGUAGUUAUAUAUGCCCAUAACACCAUCAGAAGGAAGAAUCACAGAGAUCAGAAGGAAAGAUGUAAAAGGAGCAGAAAAUAAUCCACAUGGAGAAGACUCUAAAUAUGAGCUUGUACCUCUCCCAAGCCACCAUAUCUUAAAAAGGGGAAGGGAUUUCUACAGUGACUUUGUAGCUAAACUGACCUGUUCAAAUUGCAAUGUGCCUCUGACGAUGUCUUGCAACACAUGAGGCACCAACACCACACAAACUAUACAAGGCACCAAGUGGCUUAAAAGUCACAUUUCCCAUGGCUAGUAGGUCUGAAGCUGUGAGAUGCUGUCAAUCUAUAAGCGAAAAAAAAGCUGGGAGUCAGAAGUUUCUGAGUUCACAUCUUCCAGGAAACACGCUACUUUUUUCAAGACAAACACAUUCCUGGUUUUGUCCUGCUGCCCACUGGGGCUGCUGAAAUGUGUGCAGUGCCAAACCAUAUGGGCCUCACAGGUAGGGCUUUUCUUGACAGAAAAACACAGAAGUACUUGGCGAGGUAACCUGAAGGCUACCACUCUCACUGCAUUUCUUUAAAUCGGACAGCACUGCAGUAGCGCUGUCCACUGACUCAGAGGAGCUUUAUACCAUGGUAGAUAGAUUCCACUGAACCAUAAGAGAACUUAAUGCGUUCAAAGUUUUUGUGUUAUUAAUCCAAAACUGAUUCCUUCCAAUUAGUUUUUAAGAAGUAUCUUAGCGUUGUUAUGCUCCAUAUGGACAAGGCAAAUAUCCUGUCCUGCAGGCAGAUGGACCAGAUGAAGGAAGAAUUAUAAAGGCAAAUAGAAUUAUUUAAAAUUAGGAUUGCUGGUGGUUUUUGGUUCUUGUUUUUUUCCAGUCACUGAAGUGUCUUUCUCUUAUGUGAUAUCUCUUAUCUUAAGGCAGUAGUGUCCUAUUGUGUUUCUUAGUUCUUCCUUAUAUAUUUUUGACUAAAUGUUUUAUAUUUUGGAACUAAAUGUGAGAGGACUGUAUAAAAAAAACUAUCAAAAUAUCUUUUAACUACUGAUAUAUAUUUAAAAUCUUUUUCUGAAAUGUAUAAUAUACCCCUUUCCUUCUGAGGUAGAAGGUGGGCUGGUACAGUCUCUGCCCCUGCUCUCCACAUAUACACAAUUUUUAUCUUUAUUUUGAAUCAUUCCAGAAUAAUUUUAUACUGUGGAGAACUAAUAUUGAUUCUGCUUGAAGUUGUAAACUUUUUGAGCACUACAUCAUGUUUAUCUGUAUCAUAUAUACUUAUUGAGCCAUAAGUUAGUUAUCUGAGUGAUAUUUCCUACAGCUGAAAUAUAGAAGGUCUAUUUGUGAAGUCUAAUGAAAAUGGCAAAGUGCAGAACUGCUUCGGAUCUGAUGUUGGCUUCCCUUCACAAACUUCAUUUUGAGUUACCACUGAGAAAAAAAGGCACAGCAAUGAUAUUGUAAAAG